rnacentral:rRNA from 1 species
CGAUAACGAACGAGACCUUAACCUACUAAAUAGUGCUGUUAGCUUCGGCUGAACUGGCACUUCUUAGAGGGACUAUCGAUUUCAAGUCGAUGGAAGUUUGAGGCAAUAACAGGUCUGUGAUGCCCUUAGACGUUCUGGGCCGCACGCGCGCUACACUGACGGAGCCAGCAAGUACUAUCCUUGGCCGAAAGGUCCGGGUAAUCUCGUGAAACUCCGUCGUGCUGGGGAUAGAGCAUUGAAAUUAUUGCUCUUCAACGAGGAAUUCCUAGUAAGCGCAAGUCACUAGCUUGCGUUGAUUACGUCCCUGCCCUUUGUACACACCGCCCGUCGCUACUACCGAUUGAAUGGCU